UGGGCUGAGGCGAGAAUAAACAAUAGACAC
rnacentral:piRNA from 1 species